GUUACCACAAUAUUUCCCCUGGAUUUGGAGAGUUGCUGAAGCAUAUAUGGUUUGAAUUGUAGAAUACAAAUUUCCCAUACAAUAAUACAAGACCCUGACUGUGAUGAUGGCUGAGUAUUGAGAUGGUGUAUUUCCAGAGUUAGUGGAAUGACCAAGCAUACCUUCUCGGUCAUUUGUGGUGAUAAUAAUGAAGAUUCUAUUUGGACCUGAAACAUCUGCUAAACUCCUGGAGAGGUGGUAUCAAUACCUGAAAGGGACUAUCAAGUUGAAUCUGCCAAGAGUCAAGUUGUGGAUUAUCACGUAGAUUUUUAAAAGUCAUGCCUCCAUCCCUCCUCUUGAAGAGUUCUUAGAUGAGCGUCAGCUACCCUAUAUCCUUGCAUCAGGAACCACCACACAAGCGAUAAGCAGCUACCACAUCAUCAUGCUGUGACUACUACUACAAAGGACAUCCUGUGGCUGGGAAGCAUAUCAUUCACAGGACAUGCUUGAUGAGACUUCCUAGGUCCAGUUUGUUCUCAUACAAGUUUACAGCAUUUAUACCACCAUUCAGACUGCUGUCUUUGAUAUUGAUGACCCGGAAAAAACAGAAGUGAAAGAUUUGCAAGCCAAGUUGUUCUUUUGAGUUUAAAAUCUAAUUUCAGAAGAA